CGUUUCUAUGUACUACUUUCGAUACUUAAUUUGUCACUAUCAGUGACGACUGAGGGCGGCGAUAAGGCAAGUGUGGAAGGCUACAAGACAGAUUACGACGAAUAUGACAGUGCAGAGAGUGUAGGUACGCAUAACACGAAGACGACGACGGCAACGGUAAAAAAGCCUUCUAAAAAGAAACCGAAAAAGGAAGAAUAUAGGGACAUAUUAAAGUUCCUUAACACAACUGAAAAAAUUUGGGUAUAUCAAAGCACUGAAAGAACUAACAAUACAUGCAAGGUGGACAAGAUUGAAUACGUAUACGAGCUCGGUGCCUGCAUCACCAGAUAUCACAUAUCUAAUGGACAUACGAAUAAAACAUCGACUGCAGUCCAGUUCUCGUAUCAUUGGGCUGGUGAAGACACCAGCCUCCCUUACCAUGAAAUGAGAGUUCCAA